UNGUCAUCUAUAGUCCUAAUGCCCCCAC
rnacentral:piRNA from 1 species